UCGAACGAUGAAGCCCAGCUUGCUGGGUGGAUUAGUGGCGAACGGGUGAGUAACACGUGAGCAACCUGCCCCUGACUCUGGGAUAAGCGCUGGAAACGGCGUCUAAUACUGGAUACGAGUAGCGAUCGCAUGGUCAGUUACUGGAAAGAUUUUUUGGUUGGGGAUGGGCUCGCGGCCUAUCAGCUUGUUGGUGAGGUAAUGGCUCACCAAGGCGUCGACGGGUAGCCGGCCUGAGAGGGUGACCGGCCACACUGGGACUGAGACACGGCCCAGACUCCUACGGGAGGCAGCAGUGGGGAAUAUUGCACAAUGGGCGGAAGCCUGAUGCAGCAACGCCGCGUGAGGGAUGACGGCCUUCGGGUUGUAAACCUCUUUUAGCAGGGAAGAAGCGAGAGUGACGGUACCUGCAGAAAAAGCGCCGGCUAACUACGUGCCAGCAGCCGCGGUAAUACGUAGGGCGCAAGCGUUAUCCGGAAUUAUUGGGCGUAAAGAGCUCGUAGGCGGUUUGUCGCGUCUGCUGUGAAAUCCCGAGGCUCAACCUCGGGCCUGCAGUGGGUACGGGCAGACUAGAGUGCGGUAGGGGAGAUUGGAAUUCCUGGUGUAGCGGUGGAAUGCGCAGAUAUCAGGAGGAACACCGAUGGCGAAGGCAGAUCUCUGGGCCGUAACUGACGCUGAGGAGCGAAAGGGUGGGGAGCAAACAGGCUUAGAUACCCUGGUAGUCCACCCCGUAAACGUUGGGAACUAGUUGUGGGGUCCAUUCCACGGAUUCCGUGACGCAGCUAACGCAUUA
rnacentral:rRNA from 1 species